UACAGAGGGUGCAAGCGUUGUUCGGAAUUAUUGGGCGUAAAGGGAGUGUAGGCGGUUUGGAAAGUCUUCUGUGAAAUCUACGGGCUUAGCCUGUAACGUGCAGAGGAAACUUCCAGGCUUGAGUGUCGGAGAGGAUAGGGGAAUUCCCGGUGUAGAGGUGAAAUUCGUAGAGAUCGGGAGGAACACCAGUGGCGAAGGCGCCUAUCUGGCUGACAACUGACGCUGAGACUCGAAAGCAUGGGGAGCAAACAGG
rnacentral:rRNA from 1 species